rnacentral:rRNA from 1 species
CAUGCAAGUCGAGCGGCCGUAGCAAUACGGCAGCGGCAGACGGGAGAGUAACACGUGGGAACGUGCCCUUCAGUUCGGAACAACCCAGGGAAACUUGGGCUAAUACCGGAUACGCCCUUACGGGGAAAGAUUUAUCGCUGAAGGAGCGGCCCGCGCCUGAUUAGCUAGUUGGUGAGGUAAUGGCUCACCAAGGCGACGAUCAGUAGCUGGUCUGAGAGGAUGAUCAGCCUCACUGGGACUGAGACACGGCCCAGACUCCUACGGGAGGCAGCAGUGGGGAAUAUUGGACAAUGGGCGCAAGCCUGAUCCAGCCAUGCCGCGUGGAUGAUGAAGGCCCUAGGGUUGUAAAGUCCUUUCGGCGGGGAAGAUAAUGACGGUACCCGCAGAAGAAGCCCCGGCUAACUUCGUGCCAGCAGCCGCGGUAAUACGAAGGGGGCUAGCGUUGCUCGGAAUCACUGGGCGUAAAGCGCACGUAGGCGGAUUGUUAAGUCAGAGGUGAAAUCCUGGAGCUCAACUCCAGAACUGCCUUUGAUACUGGCAAUCUCGAGUCCGGAAGAGGUGAGUGGAACUCCUAGUGUAGAGGUGGAAUUCGUAGAUAUUAGGAAGAACACCAGUGGCGAAAGCGGCUCACUGGUCCGGUACUGACGCUGA